rnacentral:rRNA from 1 species
UAGGGAAUUUUCGUCAAUGGGGGAAGCCCUGAACGAGCAAUGCCGCGUGUGUGAAGAAGGUCUUCGGAUCGUAAAGCACUGUUGUAAGUGAAGAAUGCCAUAUAGAGGAAAUGCUAUGUGGGUGACGGUAGCUUACCAGAAAGCCACGGCUAACUACGUGCCAGCAGCCGCGGUAAUACGUAGGUGGCAAGCGUUAUCCGGAAUCAUUGGGCGUAAAGGGUGCGUAGGUGGCACGAUAAGUCUGAAGUAAAAGGCACCAGCUCAACUGUUGUAUGCUUUGGAAACUGUCGAGCUAGAGUGCAGAAGAGGGCGAUGGAAUUCCAUGUGUAGCGGUAAAAUGCGUAGAUAUAUGGAGGAACACCAGUGGCGAAGGCGGUCGCCUGGUCUGUAACUGACACUGAUGCACGAAGGCGUGGGGAGCAAAUAGGAUUAGAUACC